UCCCUACGGGGGGCAGCAGUGGGGAAUUUUGGACAAUGGGCGCAAGCCUGAUCCAGCUAUUCCGCGUGUGGGAUGACGGCCCUCGGGUUGUAAACCACUUUAGUAGAGAACGAAAAGGAGCUAUCGAAUAAAUAGCUCUGCUGACGGUACUCUAAGAAUAAGCACCGGCUAACUACGUGCCAGCAGCCGCGGUAAUACGGAGGAUCCGAGCGUUAUCCGGAUUUAUUGGGUUUAAAGGGUGCGUAGGCGGUUUGAUAAGUUAGAGGUGAAAUGUCGGGGCUCAACCCCGAAACUGCCUCUAAUAA
rnacentral:rRNA from 1 species